rnacentral:tRNA from 1 species
GGGCUGCGCGCUGGGGCGCAGAGAGGCCUUGCAAGCCACUCCCGCCGGGUUCGAUUCCCGGGCGGUCCA